rnacentral:rRNA from 1 species
GAUCCAGACUCCUACGGGAGGCAGCAGUGGUUUCUCUUGGACAAUUUGGUCAACCCUGCUCCAGCGAUGCCGCGUGCGGGAAGAAGGUUUUCGGAUUGUACCACUCUGUGGACAGGGCCGAUAAUGACGGUACCUGUCAAGAAAGCCACGGCUAACUACGUGCCAGCAGCCGCGGUAAUACGUAGGUGACGAGCGUUGUCCGGAAUUACUGGGUGUAAAGGGAGGGUAGGCGGGAAUGCAAGGCAGAAGUGAAAAUUAGGGGCUCAACCCAUAACCUGCUGUUGAAACUGUUUUUCUUUAGGGAAGCAGAGGCAAGCGGAAUUCCUAGGGGAGCGGUGAAAGGCGGAGAUAUUAGGAGGAACACCAGUGGCGAAGGCGGCUUGCGGGGCGUUUACUGACGCUGCGGCUCGAAAGCGUGGGGAGCCAACAGG